UGGCUUGAUCGAGUGUUCUUAGCUAUAAUCCAAGAAAAUCGGUUCAGCCGUUUGAAAGUUAUCAGUUCUUUUCUAGUUUUCUUAUAGAGGUUUUUGUGUCAGGGGUUCUUUAAAUUUUGAGUUAUGACUUGAGUUGGUCUUCACGUUUCUUAUUUAUACUACUGUUAUAAAAUACAUGGAUGUAAAAACUUGCACAUUGUGAUUUACGAUCUCUAGUUAAUUAAACAAAUUAUACAUUCAAUAUUAAUUUAUUGAACUUAAAUACAAGAACGAGUUUUCAACCCAGUAGUUAAGUCAUUUAGCAGGCGAUGGGAGGUGCUAUGCUCUGAGAUUCUCUACGCGAUAAAAUCAGAAACAGGGAAAUCCAGGAAGGAAGGAGAGGAAGGUACGAGAACCAGGGUAACCUACAACUCAAAAAGUAGCAAAAUCGAAGUGGCAAUUAGCGUAGGACAUAGCUCGGACCACCGAAAGUCGUUUGGGUUUCAAGAUUAUUGG